AUUUUGAUAAUCAGGAUAUUGUUCUGAACUUUGGAGCUCAUUGAAAUGACCAUUUCCAUGGUUUUUAUUUAAAUUAUCAACUUGAUCCCUAGGAUCUAUUGAAACUCCAUUAUCAGCUGAUUGAAGACUUGUCAUUUCAACAAUCAACUUUAUUCCACCAAUCACAAGUUAAUAAUUUUUGACUAAAGAUUGAUCCUAUUGGACAGAGAAAUGAAGAUACUAGAAAAUUUCCAUCACAAACAUGAAAUAGCUGACAUCCGGCCUCUUCAUCAGCAUAGUAUCCUGAGAACAUAAAAUAUACUAGUUAGAAAUUGUGGAUGAAUGAAUGAAUUGGGAAUUAGAAGUCACUUAUAUUCUUCAAAACCGGUUUUUAGCAAAAUAUACUACCAGACAGAUACUUCUGAAAAGAUGAUUAGAUGUUGAAGAAUUUAUAAAUUUUUAUUUUAAACUCAAUUGAGUAGAAAAUAAAAAUAAACAGUGAAAAAAUUGAUGGGCCAUCAGUUAGUUAAACGUUAACACAAUGAACUUUAACUAACUUUCGUAAUUUUGUAAUCAAGAUAAAUAUUUGUACGAUUGUCCAAGGUAAAACUAGUCUGAGGAAUUCUUGUAUAAGAUGGAUAAUCAAUUCCUGGUUCUCCCGGCACAUUACUUCGAUAGCUUGAAAAGUCUAGUUGGGUAUUGAGAAAUUUUUCGAAUUGUAAUAAUUGUCACUUCAAGAAUCUUGUAAACAAUCAUAAGGACAUUACCUGUUUCUUCAUCAUAACGAUCGUAAAUGUCAAAGGAAUCAUCUUCGUCAGGAUCAUAAUAUUUACUGCAAUUUAUUUCUCAUUCUAAAGUACCAAUUAAAAUAAUCAAAUAACCAAAAAUUAUUACGUCUAAUGAAUUACAUAUUUACCUUCCUCUGGUUCCAUCCACCGCUCGGCGAUAGGGAUAUGUUCUGCUUGGCUCUUCUUCACUGAUAAGAUCUAGUCCAUGAAUUCUCUCACAGAGAAUGAGAGUAACAGAGCCUGUGUUAAUUACACAAAUCAAAGAAGAUACAAAAACUAGCGAAUUCAAGGAAAUAUGUAGACAUGGAGUUUCAAGAAGAAUUGAAGUGAUCAAGAUCAUUAAUUUAUAACACUUACGUUAAAUUUUGCAAAC